GCCGGGGUGGCCGAGCGGUCAAAGGCGCCGGGCUGCAGACCCGGUAAAUCCCGGGUUCGAAUCCCGGCCCCGGCUCCA
rnacentral:tRNA from 1 species